CCUACGGGUGGCAGCAGUGAGGAAUAUUGGUCAAUGGACGAGAGUCUGAACCAGCCAAGUAGCGUGAAGGAUGACUGCCCUAUGGGUUGUAAACUUCUUUUAUAAAGGAAUAAAACGAGGCACGUGUGCCUUUUUGCAUGUACUUUAUGAAUAAGGAUCGGCUAACUCCGUGCCAGCAGCCGCGGUAAUACGUAGGGGGCAAGCGUUAUCCGGAUUUACUGGGUGUAAAGGGAGCGUAGACGGCAGUGCAAGUCAGUUGUGAAAGUUUGCGGCUCAACCGUAAAAUUGCAAUUGAUACUGGCAGUCUUGAGUACAGUUGAGGUAGGCGGAAUUCGUGGUGUAGCGGUGAAAUGCUUAGAUAUCACGAAGAACUCCGAUUGCGAAGGCAGCUUACUAAACCGCCACUGACAUUGAUGCUCGAAAGUGUGGGUAUCAAACAGGAUUAGAUACCCGGGUAGUC
rnacentral:rRNA from 1 species